GACGAACGCUGGCGGCGUGCUUAACACAUGCAAGUCGAACGGAAAGGCCCUGCUUUUGUGGGGUGCUCGAGUGGCGAACGGGUGAGUAACACGUGAGUAACCUGCCCUUGACUUUGGGAUAACUUCAGGAAACUGGGGCUAAUACCGGAUAGGAGCUCCUGCUGCAUGGUGGGGGUUGGAAAGUUUCGGCGGUUGGGGAUGGACUCGCGGCUUAUCAGCUUGUUGGUGGGGUAGUGGCUUACCAAGGCUUUGACGGGUAGCCGGCCUGAGAGGGUGACCGGCCACAUUGGGACUGAGAUACGGCCCAGACUCCUACGGGAGGCAGCAGUGGGGAAUAUUGCACAAUGGGCGGAAGCCUGAUGCAGCAACGCCGCGUGCGGGAUGACGGCCUUCGGGUUGUAAACCGCUUUCGCCUGUGACGAAGCGUGAGUGACGGUAAUGGGUAAAGAAGCACCGGCUAACUACGUGCCAGCAGCCGCGGUGAUACGUAGGGUGCGAGCGUUGUCCGGAUUUAUUGGGCGUAAAGGGCUCGUAGGUGGUUGAUCGCGUCGGAAGUGUAAUCUUGGGGCUUAACCCUGAGCGUGCUUUCGAUACGGGUUGACUUGAGGAAGGUAGGGGAGAAUGGAAUUCCUGGUGGAGCGGUGGAAUGCGCAGAUAUCAGGAGGAACACCAGUGGCGAAGGCGGUUCUCUGGGCCUUUCCUGACGCUGAGGAGCGAAAGCGUGGGGAGCGAACAGGCUUAGAUACCCUGGUAGUCCACGCUGUAAACGGUGGGUACUAGGUGUGGGGUCCAUUCCACGGGUUCCGUGCCGUAGCUAACGCUUUAAGUACCCCGCCUGGGGAGUACGGCCGCAAGGCUAAAACUCAAAGGAAUUGACGGGGCCCCGCACAAGCGGCGGAGCAUGCGGAUUAAUUCGAUGCAACGCGUAGAACCUUACCUGGGUUUGACAUGGAUCGGGAGUACUCAGAGAUGGGUGUGCCUCUUUUGGGGUCGGUUCACAGGUGGUGCAUGUCUGUCGUCAGCUCGUGUCGUGAGAUGUUGGGUUAAGUCCCGCAACGAGCGCAACCCUUGUUCACUGUUGCCAGCACGUUAUGGUGGGGACUCAGUGGAGACCGCCGGGGUCAACUCGGAGGAAGGUGGGGAUGACGUCAAGUCCUCAUGCCCCUUAUGUCCAGGGCUUCACGCAUGCUACAAUGGCUGGUACAGAGAGUGGCGAGCCUGUGAGGGUGAGCGAAUCUCGGAAAGCCGGUCUCAGUUCGGAUUGGGGUCUGCAACUCGACCUCAUGAAGUCGGAGUCGCUAGUAAUCGCAGAUCAGCAACGCUGCGGUGAAUACGUUCCCGGG
rnacentral:rRNA from 1 species